AUUUCUACCAACAUUCUGUUCCUGUAUUCUCUAAGAAGAUGGAGACUCUCUCUACAGCUCCCCUCUGUUCUUUCUGAGACCUCACCAGAACUGCCUUUAACAUCCACAUUUCCACAACAGUCCUUUGGUGGCAAUUUAGGCUUUCUCUGGCAAGCACCAUCAAACUCUAACCUCUACCCAUUACCCAGUUCCAAAGCUGCUUCCGCAUUUUUAGACUCUGGGAUGUCCAAGCUGAGGGUUCCAGCAGGGUACGGUUGCUGGUGAAGGUUCUCUCCCACUUCUCUGUUUCAUCUCCUCGGGAGCACUGAGCACUGUCCAAAAUUCCACAGGCUUCACUUGCUUGUUGUCUUUCUCCAUGAGAGGUGAGGAAAAAAGAAAGAGCAGAUCUUAGAAUUUUACAGACACAGAAAGUAUUUUUGUGUGGAGGUGAAAAUGAAGACAAAAUAAUCCUCUUUGGGAAUAAAAAGGGAACUGAGGCAAGCAGGCAAGAAGCUUGUGGUGGACACACCCUAAGGUGAUCCUUAAUGACCUGACUUGUAGAAUUCUCUUCUCCGGAAUGUGGGUGACACCUGUGACCUUCCUCUAACCAGUAGAAUAUGGUAAAGGUGAUGGUACACCAUUAUGUUCCGUUCUCUAAGACUCCACAUUCGCAGACCAGGGUGAGAGGCGCUCCUGCCAGCCUUGAAGAAGCAAGCUGCUGGGACAUGGGCUUCCCGUGUAGAAAGCCGCAAAGCGGGGAACCGCAGGGAGAGCCUCUAACCAGGAAGAAACCAGGAGCCCUCUGUCCCGUCUCCAUGAUGACCUGAAAUCCCCCCACAACCACCUGAGCUCCGAAGAAGACCCUGAGAUCCAGAAGGGACACAGCUCUGCUAACAGCUUGGCUGCAGCCUAGAGGGAUCCUGAGCACAGGACCCAGAAACUGUGAGAUAAUAAACAUGUGUUGUUUCAAGCUACUAAA